GUAAUUUGCAGAGGAUGCUUUGGGUUCGGUUCCGGUCUAAGUUCCUUGGAACAGGACGUCAUAGAGGGUGAGAAUCCCGUAUGUGACCGGCCGCCACGCCCGUGUGAAGCUCCUUCGACGAGUCGAGUUGUUUGGGAAUGCAGCUCAAAAUGGGUGGUAAAUUUCAUCUAAAGCUAAAUACUGGCCAGAGACCGAUAGCGCACAAGUAGAGUGAUCGAAAGAUGAAAAGCACUUUGGAAAGAGAGUCAAACAGUACGUGAAAUUGUUGAAAGGGAAGCGCUUGCAACCAGACUUGCCCGUGGGUGAUCAGCCGGUAUUUUUACCGGUGCACUCACCCGCGGUCAGGCCAGCAUCGGUUCGGGCGGCUGGAUAAAGUCCACUGGAAUGUAGCUCCUCUCGGGGAGUGUUAUAGCCAGAGGUGUCAUGCAGCCCGCCCGGACCGAGGACCGCGCUUCGGCUAGGAUGCUGGCGUAAUGGUUGUAAGCGACCCGUCUUGAAACACGGACCAAGGAGUCUAACAUCUAUGCGAGUGUUUGGGUGUCAAACCCAUGCGCGUAAUGAAAGUGAACGGAGGUGGGAACCCUCAAGGGCGCACCAUCGACCGAUCCUGAUGUCUUCGGAUGGAUUUGAGUAAGAGCAUAGCUGUUGGGACCCGAAAGAUGGUGAACUAUGCCUGAAUAGGGUGAAGCCAGAGGAAACUCUGGUGGAGGCUCGCAGCGGUUCUGACGUG
rnacentral:rRNA from 1 species